UACUAGAGUAGCACUCGCAUAUCAAUAAGCGGAGGAAAAGAAACUAACAAGGAUUCCCCUAGUAACGGCGAGUGAAGCGGGAAGAGCUCAAAUUUGAAAUCUUAAAGGGUUUCCCUUUACGAAUUGUAGUUUAAAGAAGUGUUUUCUGUUGAGGUUUUGGUAAAAGUUCUUUGGAAUAGGACAUCAUAGAGGGUGAGAAUCCCGUAUUUGACCUUUACUUUCAACUUUGUGAUACACUUUCAAAGAGUCGGAUCGUUUGGGAAUGCAGUCCAAAAUGGGUGGUAAAUUUCAUCUAAAGCUAAAUAUUGGCGAGAGACCGAUAGCGAACAAGUACCGUGAGGGAAAGAUGAAAAGAACUUUGAAAGGAGAGUUAAACAGUACGUGAAAUUGUCAAAAGGGAAGCGUUUGACACCAGUGUUGUUUUUCUGAAAAUCAAUUAAAGAACUGUUUAUGCUAAGUUGUUUAGACUUUAUCAGCUAUCUGAUUUAGUUUUGAGCUUUUCUUUAAUGCACUUUUCAGUUAACAAGUCAACAUCAAUUUCUUUUGCUGUAAAAAAGCUUGAGGAAGGUGGCUUGAGAUUCGUCUUAAGUGUUUAUAGCCUCUUGCCUAUGCAGUCGGAGAGAUUGAGGUCUGCAGCGUAGAUCCUUCGGGGCUAAAUGCAUUUGAUGCUAAGUUAUAGCAUUUUAUAGACAACUUGUUGACUAUGAUUUGUCUUGUAGCUUACUCGCUUAUGUUAUUUUACCUACGCUUAGGAUGUUGAGCGCAUGUCUCUCUCU
rnacentral:rRNA from 1 species